AUCCCCGUGACAAUAAGCCUCUUUUUACCUGUAACUGCACGGAACUGCCGUGGCCUAACACUCCUGACUGGUACAUAACCAGCUGGCUUGCAUCGAUUUACGCUUAGAAUAAAGUCCCAGAACUGGACUUGCUGAAUGAGAGCACACUUUUUACAGGUCUCGUGAUCUUCUGCUAACCUAUCAGGAGGCACCGGGAAGCCGAGUGCCUUGAAGGAUGGAAAGUGUCCAGAUGAGUUACUGCACGUGGUCUUUGCCAAGGAAAUAACGUGAGAUCUUCUGCGGUUUUGAGAAUCGUCUGAAUUGUCUGAGCUUUGCCAAGGGCCGCUCGGAAAACCCAACCCGGUUCUGGACGGAGACCGUCCUACAUACCUGAAUGUGUGCUUGCAUCUUCUUCUUUUCGUUCUGGAGGAUUUGGUUUCUUUCUUCUUCUUCUUCAACCCUGGAUUCCAGGUCGUGGAGGAUCUCCUCCAGCUCCUGCUUCUUAGCGGCGAGCCUCGCCCUCAUCUCUUCCGCUUCGGCAAAGAGCUCCGUCUCCGCCUGCAGCUGCUCCGCCAGGAUGUUCUUCUCCUCCAGAAGCUGCAACCACAACCGAGCGUCAGUGUGGUCGCUGCCCCCCGCCUCCCCCCACCGCAGACGGUCACUCCGAUUUCAGCGGCCAUGCUCAUCACCGUAGAAAUGGAGGCUUAGAUAUCUGUAACGUCGCUGGCAAAACUUUCCAAUAUUCUUUACGGCAAAGUGAGCUAGAGAACGUUUCUGCUGGUUUCUGUCGUCUCAGGCCAUCCUGAACAACACUAAGUUCACGCGACUUUAGGAGCUCCUGUUCUUCCAUUAAGGCUCCUUCAAGGCUGCCGUAAAAAUCCCUCAACCUCCUUACUGAGGACCGUCGCCCUGAUGUCCCCGUGGCCUCUGGGAGAAGAUGAGUCAAGAACAUGCCGGCCACUCUGUCUGAACGAGGCAGCUGGCUCCCCCCACCCACCCCACCCGCCACUGCCUUCAGCUGAACCUGUCUGCCGGGCGCACCGCGCUCUCUGCCGGGGGCUCCGGGACCUGCAUCUGAAGUACGUCACCUGGUGUCCCGGUGUCAGGAGGCCGACGUGCCACAGCCCUGUUUCCUCCCUCUUUGUCCACUGGUGCCAGUGGCCUCUAGGGUGCUCCAGCUGCCAGCUCACGGGCUUCUGUCCACGUCUCUGUGUCUGACCUGUACACACUGCUCUGCCUCUUUCCGAAUUCUAGUCUGGCUCUUUCGAAGGCCUAAUUUUGGAGCUGCAAAUGACAGGCACAGUGCCUUAUGUAGCGGUCACAUGCUCGUGUUAGCUGUUAGUCUUUAAGAGGAGAUCUCGGGCGCCUGGGUGGCUCAGCUGGUUAAGCGUCUGACUUCGGCCCAGGUCAUGAUCUCACGAUUCGUGGGUUCCAGCCCCGCGUCGGGCUCUGUGCUGACAGCUCGGAGCC